rnacentral:lncRNA from 10 species
AGGCGACCGACGCUGAAAGGGCCGCGGAGUCGCGUGUCAGGGCUGGAGGGAGAUCUUGAGAGCAGCUGAGAAAUAAAUUAUGUUGCUGAGGCUGAAGAUGAUGCACAGAAGUAUGGCUCCAGCUAUCUGAGAGAAAGAGAAGGGCUUGGAGGUGGCCAGGAGCCAUUCCUUCCUCAGAGUCUUGUCCAGAAGUAUGGCUUCCAUCUGCAUGUGCGUGGCCAGGAUCACACACACGUGAAACAGCUGGUGACUGUGACCUAUGGCAAACACAAAAGGCCGUCAAGAUCAGCAAUGAAAAGGAAUGAGUACUGAUACAUGCUAUGGCAUUCAUGCUAAAAAUGAUGCUAAGUGAAAGAAACCAGACAGGAGACCACAUAUUAUAUAAAAUCUCCAGAAUAUGCAAAUCCAUAAAGACAGAGAGUAGAUUAGAGGCUGCCUCAAGCAGGGGGUGAGAAUAGGUAUUAACAGUGCAUGGGUCUGAUGGAGGGGAUGAAAAUGUUCUAAAACUGAU